rnacentral:rRNA from 1 species
AGUGAACGCUGGCGGUAUGCCUAACACAUGCAAGUCGAACGGCAGCACAGUAAGAGCUUGCUCUUACGGGUGGCGAGUGGCGGACGGGUGAGGAAUACAUCGGAAUCUACUUUUUCGUGGGGGAUAACGUAGGGAAACUUACGCUAAUACCGCAUACGACCUACGGGUGAAAGCAGGGGAUCUUCGGACCUUGCGCGAUUGAAUGAGCCGAUGUCGGAUUAGCUAGUUGGCUGGGUAAAGGCCCACCAAGGCGACGAUCCGUAGCUGGUCUGAGAGGAUGAUCAGCCACACUGGAACUGAGACACGGUCCAGACUCCUACGGGAGGCAGCAGUGGGGAAUAUUGGACAAUGGGCGAAAGCCUGAUCCAGCCAUACCGCGUGGGUGAAGAAGGCCUUCGGGUUGUAAAGCCCUUUUGUUGGGAAAGAAAAGCAGCAGGUUAAUACCCCGCUGUUCUGACGGUACCCAAAGAAUAAGCACCGGCUAACUUCGUG